GACGAACGCUGGCGGCGUGCUUAACACAUGCAAGUCGAACGGAAAGGCCCUGCUUUUGUGGGGUGCUCGAGUUGCGAACGGGUGAGUAACACGUGAGUAACCUGCCCUUGACUUUGGGAUAACUUCAGGAAACUGGGGCUAAUACCGGAUAGGAGCUCCUGCUGCAUGGUGGGGGUUGGAAAGUUUCGGCGGUUGGGGAUGGACUCGCGGCUUAUCAGCUUGUUGGUGGGGUAGUGGCUUACCAAGGCUUUGACGGGUAGCCGGCCUGAGAGGGUGACCGGCCACAUUGGGACUGAGCUACGGCACAGACUCCUACGGGAGGCAGCAGUGCAGAAUAUUGCACAAUGGGCGGAAGCCUGAUGCAGCAACGCAGCGUGCGGGAUGACGGCCUUCGGGUUGUAAACCGCUUUCGCCUGUGACGAAGCGUGAGUGACGGUAAUGGGUAAAGAAGCACCGGCUAACUCCGUG
rnacentral:rRNA from 1 species